UGGGCGAAAGCCUGAUGCAGCAACGCCGCGUGUGUGAUGAAGGCCUUCGGGUCGUAAAGCACUUUUCUGGGAGAUGAGAAAGGACAGUAUCCCAGGAAUAAGUCUCGGCUAACUACGUGCCAGCAGCCGCGGUAAAACGUAGGAGGCAAGCGUUAUCCGGAUUCACUGGGCGUAAAGCGCGUGCAGGCGGUGCGGUAAGUUGGGCGUGAAAUCUCCCGGCUCAACUGGGAGAGGUCGUCCAAUACUACCGUACUUGAGAGCAGAAGAGGAAGAUGGAAUUCCCGGUGUAGUGGUGAAAUGCGUAGAUAUCGGGAGGAACACCAGUGGCGAAGGCGAUCUUCUGGUCUGUUUCUGACGCUCAGACGCGACAGCUAGGGUAGUAAACGGGAUUAGAGACCCCGGUAAUCCUAGCCGUAAACGAUGUGAACCUGGCGUUGGUGGGUUAAACUCCAUCAGUGCCGAAGCAAACGCGAUAAGUUCACCGCCUGGGGACUACGGCCGCAAGGUUA
rnacentral:rRNA from 1 species